ensembl:lncRNA
UGCUUCUAAAUGAGAAAGCGCUGUGACCUCAGUGUUGAACACUUUAGCCAGCCCACCCCUGCCCCAAGCCUGCUUUUGCUUUCAUUGACUAUCUGAACAUUGCCUGAGAUAGCAGGGAAUUGAGGAGAGAGACUAUUUUAACAAUAACACCAAUUAACCUUUGUAUAUCUUUUCUUAUAGUGCCUCAUCCUGGGUAAACGGGUCAAUAAGAAGACGGGUGACUUCAUUUUCAAGCUUUUAUACAAUAACAACCAGAAGGAGAGGAAGCGAUAGCAGUGCUAAAUUCCUGAGUCUACAGGGUUUUGCAGCCUAAAUUCAGCACCCUUUCUUUUCAGACUCUUGAGUUCUAGGAUGCUUUGAGACAAAGAAGCCAAGGAUCUUUUUGACAUGCUGUCAAGGAUAAAACAAAGCAAGGAAUAACAGAAGUUUAGCCCCUUUUCUUUUAAUACUCAGGAGCCUGGCUAUCACAACUGAAGGCAACAUGGGAGAACAGGGGGAAAGAAUGCUGAAGAGGAAGGACUUGGGGUUGCAAAAUUCAACUUGCAGAUGGAAUAUUACAAACUUCGUUAGACUUCAAAUUCUGUCAGAAGCAUGGGUCCUAUAAUUCUGUCCCUAGCAGAGCUUCGGAAAGUUACUCUUGUAAUGAAUGUACUGCCACCUUCUGCUGUGCAAGACCAUGCAGAUCAGAUAACUGCAGAACCACCAAGCAGCCUUUAAUUUCAUCAUUCUGCAGUUUUUGGAGGACAUGGGUUCAGCCUGAGAGUCAGAGUUCAGAAGCUGACACAACCCUGGAGGAUACACAACAACUUCAUGGCUGAGGUAGGCAAAAAGGCCAGUCUCCGUGUCAAAAAUGCAAGGCAGCCCUUCCUUCAGAUGUGACUUAUCUCAAGCAGCAGGCAACAGAGAUUCAUAAAAGGCAGACCAAGUCUGACACAUCCGCUUGAGAUCCUCUAAAUGCCUUCCUGAAUUAGGAGACAAUGGAGAAGUUGUGCAAGAUGUCUAUCUAACUUUCCCAGGGCAUAACAAAGAAAGGAGGAGACAAAAAAAGAAGAUGGAUCAGCAGAGUCAGUGAGCAUGACAGCAGGAGAAAGCUUCUGGAAUGGAUUAAAGAUUGGAGCUUAGUAACUGAUAGGAGGCAGUGGAUAGUGGUAGAAGAUAAGAGCAGAAAGAAUGUCUAAAGGCACCAAGCUAAGAAACACGUUACUUUAGCUAGAAAUGAAUAUAGGAAGAGUAUUGGUACAAUGAACUGUGCAUCUGGAGGCUUGAUUAAUAUGAAGGAAGCAAGGCAGCUAUUAUAUGCAAAGUGGAUAAAAAAGGGGAAACUAAGAUUCUUAGUUCUUUAAGAUUAAGAACUUUAAAUAUAAAAGUCCCUCUUGACUAUGAGUGCCCUUCUUUGGUAGGAAAGCAUCAUACAAAUCCAAUCAGCCAGUCUAUCAGUCAAUCAAUAAUCAGUGAAAAAAAAAUCACAAAUUUCCAAAGAAACUCAAAAUGUAAGAUGAGAUGAGGCAAUCUAUUUCUUAGGAACAACUGCAGUGCCACAGAAUAAUCACUGUGUUAUGGCAUUCUAGGAAGAAAGACUGCUGGGGUGAGAGUGUUUAUA